AUUGAACGCUGGCGGCAGGCCUAACACAUGCAAGUCGAGCGGAUGAAGGGAGCUUGCUCCUGGAUUCAGCGGCGGACGGGUGAGUAAUGCCUAGGAAUCUGCCUGGUAGUGGGGGAUAACGUCCGGAAACGGGCGCUAAUACCGCAUACGUCCUGAGGGAGAAAGUGGGGGAUCUUCGGACCUCACGCUAUCAGAUGAGCCUAGGUCGGAUUAGCUAGUUGGUGGGGUAAAGGCCUACCAAGGCGACGAUCCGUAACUGAUCUGAGAGGAUGAUCAGUCACACUGGAACUGAGACACGGUACAGACUCCUACGGGAGGCAGCAGUAGGGAAUCUUCGGCAAUGGGCGAAAGCCUGAUGGAGCAACGACGCGUGAGUGAAGAAGGUCUUCGGAUUGUAAAACUCUGUUAUUAGGGAAGAAGAAAUGUGUAAGAAAAUAUGACUGUCUUGACGGUACCUACUGAGAAAGCCACGGCUAACUACGUG
rnacentral:rRNA from 1 species